GCCAUCGUGGCACAGAGGUUAACAUGUCCGCCUAUGAUGUGGAACGCCUGGGUUCAAAUCCCAGCGUGGCA
rnacentral:tRNA from 1 species